CAGUAGUCACGAGUUUGAUCAUGGCUCAGAUUGAACGCUGGCGGCAUGCCUAACACAUGCAAGUCGAACGAGACCUUCGGGUCUAGUGGCGCACGGGUGCGUAACGCGUGGGAACCUGCCUUUAGGUUCGGAAUAACUCAGAGAAACUUGAGCUAAUACCAUAUAAUGUCUUCGGACCAAAGAUUUAUCGCCCUGAGAUAAGCCCGCGUAGGAUUAGCUAGUUGGUGGGGUAAAAGCUCACCAAGGCGACGAUCUUUAGCUGGUCUGAGAGGAUGAUCAGCCACACUGGGACUGAGACACGGCCCAGACUCCUACGGGAGGCAGCAGUGGGGAAUAUUGGACAAUGGGCGAAAGCCUGAUCCAGCAAUGCCGCGUGAGUGAUGAAGGCCUUAGGGUUGUAAAGCUCUUUUACCAGGGAUGAUAAUGACAGUACCUGGAGAAUAAGCUCCGGCUAACUCCGUG
rnacentral:rRNA from 1 species